GACGAACCGUGCGAACGUUGUUCGGAAUCACUGGGCAUAAAGGGCGCGUAGGCGGGCCGUAAAGUCAGGGGUGAAAUCCUCCAGCUUAACUGGAGAACUGCCUUUGAUACUGACGGUCUUGAGUGAGGUAGGGGCGUGCGGAACUGAUGGUGGAGCGGUGAAAUGUGUUGAUAUCAUCAGGAACUCCGGUGGCGAAAGCGGCACGCUGGACCUUUACUGACGCUGAUGCGCGAAAGCUAGGGGAGCGAACGGG
rnacentral:rRNA from 1 species